UUCUUUUGAAUGAAUUUUUUAUUGUUUUUUAGUAUUUCUAAAUAAAACUUUGCUACCCCAACUCUCAUUGUCAAUACCUCUCUUGUAAUCAAUUAAUAAUUAAAAAAAUACUUGAUUAUGAUUAAAUUUAGGAUAAAAGACAAAAUAAACAAACAUGUAUUUUCAAUAAUCAUAUAAUUCCAAUGUAUUUUACAAAAAUACCAUAAAAUAAUACCAAAUUCCAAGUUUAUAUGCAAAUCAACUCAUUUUCAAGCUUAGCUUUUGGCCUCGCGCACGGCAAGGUCGAUCGGCGGUGGCCUCGCCGGCAAAAGAUGCUUCCGAUAUCUGAGAAAUGCAAGGCAUAGAGCAAAGGUUUCGAGCUCGAAGGCUAGAGCUUUUGUUUUGGAGAAAAGAAAAGGUUUCAUAGAGCUAUUGCAGCAUCUAACUGUUUGUUGCGAUUCAGGACUUUGAAUAUAGAUUUCAAGAGCUCGGUUCCCUGGGAAAUGAUUCAUGUUAUAGAAGAUGAUCAAUCUGACACGAUCGUUGUUGCAACUAAGAUUGUGUUUGUUUGUUGAAAACAAGUUCAUAUUAUAAGGAAUUUUGGUAAAGUUGGGGAUAUUGAAAAUGUUGUUGACACCAUUUAUAUAUUAUUGAUGUCUUUCUUUUGCAAUGUAAUGCAAUUAACAACUAGAGCAUUGGCCAUUACUUUGUUUCAACUUUUUGUACUUGUCUUC